rnacentral:rRNA from 1 species
CACGUAGGGUGCAAGCGUUGUCCGGAUUCAUUGGGCGUAAAGGGCUAGUAGGCGGCUUAGCAAGUCGGGUGUGAAAUUUCCAGGCUUAACCUGGAACCGCCAUCCGAUACUGCUAUGGCUAGAGUCCGGUAGGGGACCACGGAAUACCUGGUGUAGCGGUGAAAUGCGCAGAUAUCAGGUGGAACACCGAUGGCGAAGGCAGUGGUCUGGGCCGGCACUGACGCUGAAUAGCGAAAGCGUGGGGAGCGAACAGG